rnacentral:rRNA from 1 species
UGGGGAAUAUUGGACAAUGGGCGAAAGCCUGAUCCAGCCAUGCCGCGUGUGUGAAGAAGGUCUUCGGAUUGUAAAGCACUUUAAGUUGGGAGGAAGGGCAUUAACCUAAUACGUUAGUGUUUUGACGUUACCGACAGAAUAAGCACCGGCUAACUCUGUGCCAGCAGCCGCGGUACUACAGAGGGUGCAAGCGUUAAUCGGAAUUACUGGGCGUAAAGCGCGCGUAGGGGGUUUGUUAAGUUGGAUGUGAAAUCCCCGGGCUCAACCUGGGAACUGCAUUCAAAACUGACUGACUAGAGUAUGGUAGAGGGUGGUGGAAUUUCCUGUGUAGCGGUGAAAUGCGUAGAUAUAGGAAGGAACACCAGUGGCGAAGGCGACCACCUGGACUAAUACUGACACUGAGGUGCGAAAGCGUGGGGAGCAAACA